AUUGAACGCUGGCGGAAUGCUUUACACAUGCAAGUCGAACGGUAGAGGUAGCAAUACCUUGGGAGCGGCGAACGGGUGAGUAAUAUAUCGGAACGUGCCUAGUUGUGGGGGAUAACGUAGCGAAAGUUAUGCUAAGACCGCAUAAUAUCUACGGAUGAAAGCAGGGGAGCGGAAGAACUUGCGCAAUAUGAGCGGCCGAUAUCAGAUUAGGUAGAUGGGGGGGUAAAGGCUCCACAAGCCAACGAUCUGUGGCAGGUCUGAGAGGACGACGAGCCAAACUGGGACUGAGACACGGCCCAGACUCCUACGGGAGGCAGCAGUGGGGAAUUUUGGACAAUGGACGACAGUCUGAUCCAGCCAUUCCGCGUGCAGGAAGAAGGCCUUCGGGUUGUAAACUGCUUUUGUAUAGAACGAAAAGUGCGGUAUUAAUACUACUGCAUCAUGACGGUACUAUAAGAAUAAGCACCGGCUAACUACGUGCCAGCAGCCGCAGUAACAC
rnacentral:rRNA from 1 species